UUAGCCACAGCACUCUAUGGCAAUAUCCGGCGGAAGGGACAUGUUUGAAGAACUAACAAAUGCUAAGGAAAGGAGACGCUCUGUUCUGCUGGGAAGUCCGCUCUAUGGUUUAAAGUGUUGCUAUGCAACGGAGAGACACCAGGGGGCGAUCAUGUCACAAAGAACCAUGUACAGCAGAGGUAUUUGGUUGAAGCCAUUCUUCUUUCCAACUGAAUGAUAUUUCGUGUGCUGAUGGCUACUGCACAAAGCAUAAUAGGACCAUCUCCAUGCUUAAUGGAACCCCCCCUACCCUCGCAAGCUGAAGCUGAGAGUGCCAGGAAGCACUGUGGGCUGAAGAAGAAGUGGGGUGUUCAUACAGUGGUGGGGACCUGAGCAGAGAUGCUGGACACACAAUGCUUUCUUUGCCUUCUCUUUCGGGAUGUGCACUUGGAAACUCAAGACCAGUACAUAUGUGUGUCCUGACAAAGCCAAGUUGCACAAGGGCAAAAGGAGCGCCAUCGCAAUGAUACAAUAAUUGUCUUUUGAGGGCUUAAUAAAUAGGACUAAAAGUCUCAAAUGGUAUUCUGACAUAAAGUAAAAAAAAAAAAAUCCAUGGUCUGGUAACAAAACAUCAUGCAAGCUGCAGACAUGCAAAGUAAAUGCACAGGAAAUUCCAUAACACUACCUGACUAUACAAAGCAGCUGACAAAUAAAGACAGAAAUAGUAAUCACAGGCUAACAACUACUGAGACAGCUUCCUCAACUAACAGAGCUGCAUAGAAGACUAGCCUGACAAAGUGUACUAAUUAUAUAGCGUGGUUUAAGAAACACUGAAACUGCAUUAUUAUUAAUAUCUAACCUCCUAAAGAAUGUUUUUCUUCAAUGCAUAAAAGUUUAAAUUGUACAGGCAAGUACAAAGGUGGAACAAAGCAAUUUCAUCCAGAAUUAUUGCUGUAUAUAGAACUGUCAAUGAUGUUCACGUAAAGUGUUAAUGAUAUAUAGGUUCUUCCAUGUUAGAACCAUGCAAAACAGAUGACCAUGGAUGUACAGUGGGGCAAAAAAGUAUUUGGACAGCCACCGAUUGUGCAAG